AAUGGAGAGGAUGAGGAGGGUCAACUGCCAGCCGUACACAAAUGAUAUGAUGAUGGCAGUGCCCAGGUUUGCCACAUUCUGAGCCAAUGUUGCCAUUCUCACUCCGGUGGCCUGUAGGGAAAGCAAUCUUUCUCUGAAGUGCUUCUGGAUUUCUGUCUGUAUAGUGUGUGUUCAUUCAAAGAGCUGACUGAUGGACUUUUCUCAUCCAAAGUUAUCACCUCUUUGCUCUCCUCAGCAUCCUCUGAACUCUUAAACAUCUAAAUGUACACAACUGGAUAUGGAGAUCAUGUGUGUGGAUUUCUCCCAUGGUACAGUAGGCUUCUAACCUGCAUUGUGACGAGGGAGUGGUAGAUUCCCUUUCUUUCCAUUAGUUCAUCAUGUGUGCCCAGUUCUACUAUUUCAC